rnacentral:tRNA from 1 species
GGGGGUAUUGCUCAGUGGUAGAGUGUGUGCUUAGCAUCCACAAGGUCUUGGGUUCAAUCCCCAGUACCCCCU